rnacentral:lncRNA from 1 species
CAUUGUACCAAGGUCUCUCUCCUUCCCCAUCACUGCCACAACUUCAGCAGAAGAGACCUGCAGGGUCAAACCUUUAACUGGUGUCCCAACUCUGGAAACCCCUGUCAGACUCUGCCCUUCCUCCAGUCCUUCAAGGUUGCCACCCAAGGUCUCCUGUUCUCCAGAUAUGUGCCCCAUUGUAUACUCACAGCCCCUGUCCCCCACCCCCAUAUCCAACUACGCACUAUAAGAAGCCAGGCAACUCUGUAUUAUUUUCUAAGCACCACCGUUGCCAUGGAAACAAAGUACCGAAGGUACCCGUCUCCUGAUGCCUUCUUUCCCCACAACUGCUUCAUUCCAACUCACCACUAGUGAUGAUAGUUCAAAGUAUGGGUUACUAGAGUUUCAGUUCCCCAUAGCAGGGAAGGCUAUUCUGCCUUCUGCAGACCAAACACCACCCUGAGUGACCCUGGUAGGCUCCAUGCACAAAACCUCAUGACCACAGUCAGUGAAGGGCUCAGCUGGCGUGAGAGGUCGUGGAGAGGCGGAAGGAGAUCAGGUCUCUGCAAUGGUCACAGAAACAGUUCUGCUCUAGGGAGGAACAAGGGACACUACAAUCAGUCCUCAAGAAAAAACUCACUGCAGGUGCCAGGGGCUCUCCACCCACGCUCCCUAAACGAAUGGUACCAGCAGGCGUCCUAAGCCUGGUGCCUGCAGUGUUCAGCCUAGCUUUUCAUUUAUUUAUUUAUUUUGUG